GGGGUUGUGGCUCAGUGGUAAAGCGCUCACCUGGCACGUGCGGAGUGCUGGGUUCAACCCUCAACACCA
rnacentral:tRNA from 1 species